GCGGGAUUAGUUAAAUGGUAUAAUAACGGUUUUCCAAACCGUGGUCAGGAGUUCGAUUCUCCUAUCCCGCACCA
rnacentral:tRNA from 1 species